AGGAAAAAUUAAAGAAGCACCAAGGGGUGUUGUGGCGAGAAUUGCAGAUUAUUUGCAAAAUUCCAAAGUGGACCCUUCAGAAGGAUCAAGCUUAGAAGAAAUUGAUUCAAUCAGGAUUCACCCUCAUGAUCAGGUUAACUUGUCUGACGGAGAAUAUAACGAGAUGCUUCAAGAUGUCCUAACAACUUUGUUUGGGCCAG